CGAGAACUCCCGAGCGAAGCAACAAAACCAUCAAAUAUGGCUGAGCCUCUCGGCUCGUCCUGCAGCCGCCGCGGCCGCGGCCUGAGACGCGCACCCCGACCCGCGCGCCCCCGCGCCUCCGCCCCCGCGUACCUGCUGCGCACGGGCUGGGCCUCCGCGGGCUGCGCGCCGCGCCGCAUGGGUCCGGGCCACCGAGGCCCCGCGGGGAGCCGGGCGGGCCCCUGCUGUCGCCCGCGCGCUCGGCCGGCCCGGCGCGCCCAGGCCCUCCCGGUAGGGCGUGCGGCUGGCGGCGGAGGAAGCGCGGGGACGCAGACUCAUUUCUGGGUCACUGCUGCCACAGGGGGGAGCACUUUAAUCCCCAGCCAAAGGAGAGGGUGGGGACGGUGGGGCGGGGAGCCGCUGGUAGGGGCUUGCUCCCGUUAACUCUUGGGGUCCUGACUGCAGCCAGAGGGGCUCUCCCCCCUCACCCACCUCUGGAGCCCGCAAACCCUCCAGGUGUCUCCUAGGAGGAAGAAGGAAACAAAGCAAAGCAGCAGAAAUCCUAAAUGUGUGUGCUCUUUCUCCCUCUCCCAUUUCCUUAACAAGGAGCAUAAAGACUCCCUCCCUGACAGGAUCUCUGCUUCGCUCUUCCGUCCUGCUAAGAACAAGUGAGGCGA
ensembl:antisense Gm31266 predicted gene, 31266